CAAGGGAGUUUAGCUAUUAAAAUAUGAACAGAUGGCCUCACCUAUCAGAUGGUUCCUGGCCCUGAGAAGUUCCUCUAGCCUUCCCUCUACGUCCCUCAGAUCUCUCCUCGGUAAAAUACGUAACAUCUUGCACAAAGGCUGUCACAUCACAUCCGCUGCAGUCAAAGGAUUCAUUUAGCGGCCCCCUCUCCUCCCAGCCAUGGGAGGAUCAAGCAGGAGAUUGUAGUCUGCAAACUAGGAAGAAGACCCUCACCAUAUACCAGGUCUGCCAGCACCUCGACCUUGGACUCCCUAGCCUCCAGAACCCGCCAACAACAAUGCGUCAGACAACCAUGACCAAGAGACCCAGAGGAGUCCCUCGCUGGCCCAUGGAAUUCACAGUCUAGCAGGAGAAACAAACGACUU